rnacentral:rRNA from 1 species
CGUUUUUUGAAAUGGGUUCUAUUCCCAAACCGUGUAUACAUACCUUUGUUGCUUUGGCAGGCCGCCUUCUAGGCGUCGGCUCCGGCUGACUGCGCCUGCCAGAGGACCCAAACUCUUUUGUUUAGUGAUGUCUGAGUACUAUAUAAUAGUUAAAACUUUCAACAACGGAUCUCUUGGUUCUGGCAUCGAUGAAGAACGCAGCGAAAUGCGAUAAGUAAUGUGAAUUGCAGAAUUCAGUGAAUCAUCGAAUCUUUGAACGCACAUUGCGCCCCUUGGUAUUCCGAGGGGCAUGCCUGUUCGAGCGUCAUUAUAACCACUCAAGCCUCGGCUUGGUCUUGGGGUUCGCGGUCUCGCGGCCCUUAAAAUCAGUGGCGGUGCCGUCUGGCUCUAAGCGUAGUAAUUCUCUCGCUAUAGGGUCUAGGCGACCACCUGCCAGAACCCCCCAUUCUUUACGGUUGACCUCGGAUCAGGUAGGGAUACCCGCUGAACUUAAGCAUAUCAAUAAGCGGAGGAAAAGAA